UGUCAAGAAUAGAAUGUACAGGAAAAUGUGUGAGAGGCUACUGCAGUGAGGCAAGCAGCAGUGGUGAUGGCUCAAACCAGAAAAGGACUGUGAAGGUGGUAAGAAGUUUACUUUUGGAUAGAUUUUGAAGGUAGUGCUAGUAGUGUUUACUGAUGGGUGGGAUGUGUGCAAGAGAAAGAGAAGUGUGAAAAUUAACCCUAGGCAUUUGGGCUGAGCAACUGGAAAGGUAGAGUUUCUUUGUAUUAAGACAGGAAAACCGUGGGUGGGGCAGAUUUCAGGAUUCAGUUUGGGGUAUGUGAAAUUUGAGAUGUUUAUCAAACAUUCAAGUGGAGAUAUUGAGGAUGUAGUUGGAUUUAAGAGUUUGGAAUUCAGGAGGAGUUCAGGAAAUAUGAGUCCAAGCUGGAGAUCAAGUUUGGGAGUCACGGACAUAAAGAUGGUUUUUAGGUCAAUGGACGAGGUGAGAUCACAUAGGUGUAAGUGUAGGAAAAAGAGAGAGAGAGAGACAGAGGCAGAGACAGAGAAUCCAGAGGGCUGAGGCAUUCCAACAUUACCAUGUCCACCAUGAGAAGAUGAAGACCUAGCAGAAAAGACUUAAUGGGAAUCCCUGAUCUGUGAAGACAGAGAUGUUGUCUUAUUCACAUGUUUAUCCCCAGCCGUUACAGUAAUGUCUGGCACAUGGCAGACACUUAAGAUGAAAACCACUAUAAUCAGCGUCACCAAAAUAUGUCUUGGACAAGCCAUUUUAAUUUGAGGCACAUCAGACAACACUGCCCACCUCUACCAGGCCACGUGACUGAAACUACCCAGUGGAAUAUGGAUGGAGUGUUGCAUACUUGUGGACUUGUCCACAAAACCCUCCAACACAGAAUCCUCCAUACUCUUUCACCAUUAGCAGGCCAAAUGGAGAGGUUUCUAAGAAUGCAGAGGAGGGCAAAGCUACAUGAUGGGAGAAGCCUGGGUCACUGAAUCAUCCUCAGAGACAAGCUGUUUGGAGAGGAGCAUCUAAACAAACCUUAUUCUCUUAAGCUACUGAAAUUUUGGGGUUGUUGUUUACAUCGAUUAGCCUGCCCCAAUGAGGUAUGGACUUUGGGUCAAAUUGCCUGAGCUCAAAACCUCAUUUCAUCACCAGCUAUGCAACCUUGGACAAGCUACUUAGCCUCUAUGUGCUCCUGUUUCCUUAUAUGUGAUAUGGUGACAGUAACAUUACGUACCUCACAGAGUAUUUGAGGAUAUUGAAUGAGGUAUACAGCCCUAUAAUAAACAUGGCAUAUAAGUUAUUACUA